UUGAUUUAUAUGAAGAAGGAAAUCAAUUGUGCAGAUGAACAAACUAUGGUGGUGGGAUAAAAUUGUAGCUUCCUUGGGUUGGGCUUUGAUUGCAAAAUGCAGGUUUGCUCACUCCAAGUUGAGAGUUUAUCUGAGGUAUCUGAGUGAAGGCCCGAGUUUCUUGAGUCCUAAAGUGGAGGGUACUUUUUUCACAAAGUAACGAAAACCUCCCUCUCCCAACAAUGGAGGGAUGACAGGUUGUUGCAGCCCCUGUCCUCUAUUCCUACUAAGCUUGGUUUACUUAGACCAUCAUCUUU
rnacentral:SRP_RNA from 1 species